AUAUGAGACUUACCGAUUUUCUGUCCUUCUAGAUGGAAGAAGAUAAGGGUUCAGUCGGCUCAGCAUAUGAAUCUGCUGAAAGCCAGCACAGAGGGGAGGACAGUAGGCACCUGCUAGCUGAGGCUGGCAGCCAGCAGGACAGAGGUUGCGUGCACUAGCUUGCUGAAACACAUUCAAGUGUCAAGUGCUUGGACUCCAUAUGCUGUUUCCCAGAAGGAGAGACCCCGUGUGCAUCUGUUGGAAGAGUGCUGGAACGAGUCAUAGGACGGUGUAGUCCCAACCAUAUCAGCAGGUUGUGGAAUGCAUCGGAUCCAUUCUAUACCAAUGACAGGAGCAUCUUGACUCUCUCGCCAAUGGACUCAUCUACUUGUUAAAGGGACAGUAGGACUUUGUGGAACAAGUUCACUGGUCCUCAGGUUUGGAGUCACCAUCCAGUUAUAAAAGGCCAGUUACUUUCUGAAAUCUCUGGAGGAAUUGAGACUUUCUCAGAGUCCAUGGGAAACAGGCAGUUAUAUGAACCCUUCUCCUCUCUCUUUAAUUUGAAUGUGAAUAUAUUAAAAUUUGGAGAUAAAGCGAUAGUAACAAUCUCUUUGUCUUGUUUGUCUCUUCUGAUCAUAGGACUCCUGGUGGCAUUGCAGCCUUUGCUGAGGCCACUGUACUUUAAUAUCAAGGUAGAGAAAGGGGUCACUCUUGGUUAUGUGUAGUGUAAGAUGAGUGUGGUUUGGGACUCUUCUAUUUAAAUCUGCUUCUGUAAAUUAUGCUAAAGAUUUGCCAUGAGAACUCUAUUUUUUUUAUUAGAUUAUAUUUGAAGCUUUUCGUGGGGAAAGUUAAUGUGAAUAUCAAGGAAUUUUGGUCCUUCAGUGACCUCUGUUAAUCCAUUAGUACUUUUUAAGUCACAGAGCAACCAGGAGAGCACGUUUCUAACAUUGUCUUUUGUGGUGUGGGUAGUAAGCUUAUACUGACCCCACUUAUUUAACGAUGCUGUAACCCAACCAGUGAAGCUAAUCCUCCAAGUGCAAAGAGAGUUUUGCAUCUCAUGUCAAAGUCAGAAUUAGGGCCAUUUACUAGACUUCAAAUUGGUGUUUGCUAAUAUUUUUGUGGCCAAGUAUGUAAACUUGUAGUGGGUAAAUUCAAUACCUUUGUCAUAUUAAUUCACUGUAUCUGUCUUAUCUUUUGCAUGCUUCAACCUGGCUAAUAUAUUUAAAUGCACCGCACCUCUCCUCCCUCCCCCAUUAUUGCUUUCCUCCUCUCCAAAGACUCUGUUCAUAGUUUUAUGACAAUAUUGUAAGUUCAGUUGUAUCAAUAAAAAAAAACAAGUUUGGACAGUAUUUAAAUAUUGCAAAUAUAUUUAAUUAUAUAAAUUGAAAUAUAAGCCAUAAAGUCUUUCUUGGCCCACUUAGAAUUGCUCUUGACUUGCUGUAAACCAGCCUUCAGAAUAAAGGACUUUUGUUAAGAA